rnacentral:rRNA from 1 species
CCUACGGGAGGCAGCAGUGAGGAAUAUUGGUCAAUGGGCGUAAGCCUGAACCAGUCAAGUCGCGUGAGGGAUGACGGUCCUAUGGAUUGUAAACCUCUUUUAUAAGGGAAUAAAGUGCGGGACGUGUCCCGUGUUGUAUGUUCCUUAUGAAUAAGGAUCGGCUAACUUCGUGCCAGCAGCCGCGGUAAUACGGAGGAUCCGAGCGUUAUCCGGAUUUUUUGGGUUUAACGGGUGCGUAGGCGGCCUUUUAAGACAGCGGUUAAAGUAUGGGGCUCAACCAUCGGAUUGCCGUUGAAACUGGGGGGCUUGAGUGUGUGUGAGGCAGGCGGAAUGCGUGGUGUAGCGGUGAAAUGCUUAGAUAUCACGCAGAACCCCGAUUGCGAAGGCAGCCUGCCAGGCCAUAACUGACGCUGAUGCACGAAAGCGUGGGGAUCAAACAGGAUUAGAUACCCUUGUAGUC